rnacentral:lncRNA from 10 species
CUUGCAGGCUCAGCUUUGGCCUAGGGAGUCAGACCCUGCCUGCUUCUGGGCCCCAGAGCCACCCCCAUCCACUUGUGAUCUGGGAAAGUCAUUUAACACCAGGACCCUUGUUUUCUUAUCUGUAACAUGGAGAUGCUGGUAACUCGUGCCUCAUAAAAUCACUUGAUGUGGGUGAGAGAGAAAGCUAAGUGUUGAUGACAGUGUGGGCCUGACCGUGCCUGAGUAAGCCCCAUGGGAACACAGCCGUGGUGGGAAGCAGCUUCCCAGCAGCCCUCCCCGCCAUCGGGAGAAUCCCCUGAGGCCAUGAGAGGGUCUCAGGGAGGUGGACGGCCCAUCAAGUGAGAACCGAGGGCACUGUGCACUCCUGAAUCCUAGGACUCCUCUUAGGUCAUUGACUAACAACAUCAACAAUGAAAUGAAUCUGAGAAAACAGGAAAUUGAGAGCAAGAGAAAAAAAAGUUAAUUAUACUGAUUUUGUAUAAGACCCCUUUGAACACAUUUUUAAAAAAUCAAAUAGAAGGUGCCCAGGUCCACUGUGCCUUGUGAAUAUUUGUCUUGUAUAUCCUAGAGAUCUACGCAUUCAUGUGGGAAUUGAAAAGGACCCACAUUUUACUAGAAGCAUCGUUCAUUUUUGCCUCAAAACAAUGCCCACAUGUCAGAAGAACUUUCACAAUUCACAGGAACAGUGACCUAAUUAACCAACCAUAAAAUUGCCAAAUCCCUACUUCUCAUUGUUUAAUAUGCUUAGAAAACCCAUUCAAAUUGUGAAUUAUCAAGUGAGCUUACACUGAUAAAUAGAUCCAAUAUUUAGGAAUUUUUAAAUCUUCCAUUCCUUUUUUUUUUUUGUCUUUUUAAAAAUAGAACAUUAGAAUAUGUCCUCCAGGUUUUAGAGAUGGGGGAGACAUGCUUCCCUUUAUUUCUCAGUAACUCAGCCAAAAAAAAUCUGGAGAGAAUGCAAAGACAGCUACUGGAAACUUUGAAAAGUAGAUGUGAGCCCAUCAGGGAAGAGCUAGAGAAUCUGAAAUCUACUCGAAAAAGUGAGUUUGAUACUUUGUGUUCCUAUCCUAACUCCACACAGCCUGAAACUUGGAAGUGAGCAUGAUGGAGUGGAUACAGUGAGAUGCAGAAGAAAUCCUCCAGUUUGGGCUGGAAGGGAAAAAAGAGACCCCUAAAACUCAGAGACAGUGGAAGAAAUUCCUGGUGUUUUUUUCUUCUCUUUUUCUCUGUUCUUCCACAUAGCAAUUUAGUAUUGACUACAGCAUCUCUGUUACAAUGAUAGCACCGAAAUGUUGUAACCAUAUGGCCUGCAAAGCCAAAAAUACUUAUCUGACCAUCUACAGGAAAAGUUUGCUGAUCUGGAUGAAAUAUUCUGAUACUAAAUAUUCCAUUUUGAGGCUGAUAUUCCUAAUCUAUUCAUAAGGAUGGCAUAUCUACCCAGUGGGCCUGCUGGGACUCCAGUUACCCGAUGCACAUACAUUGCUUGGUGUGGCAGUUUCGUGUGCAUUUUUGGUGAUGAUGCUCCACGGAACAUCUGCAGAUGUGCUGUCAAUUUGGACAGCUCUGACUACCGAGUGAAUGGGAAGUACUAACGAGAACUGUCUGCUUGGGAACUCCAUGAAGUUCGUGGCUUUUGUGAUUGAAAUAGCAUCAAUAAAAGGUUGACACUGUGGAACAACACAAGCCUGCAUGGACCUGGUUAUCUCUGACCUCGCACCACUCAUGAGACCAUACCUGAGCCCUACUCCACUUUGGCAGAACUGUUGCAUGGCCUCUCUUCAUAUAAUACCUCUCCGUACACCGUACACCGCAGCUCAAAGAAAGGAUAUAUGCUCCCUGUGAAGACUAAUGGAACUGUCCCUCCUGAUCCUCCUACAGACUUCCUCUGGCCUAAUGGGUGCACCAUUGCAUUAUAUCUGCCAUCUAUACACACAUAUACCUUUCAACCCUGCACUCUCUGAGAUGACUGGACUCAUGCCUAAAUAACUGAUGCUGUCCCUAGUGUAAGGUAAGCACUCAAUAGUUUCUCAGGAAAUGAAUAUGAUAAAUAUUUUGGCUGUUUAGAGGCUUUCCUUCACUUCAUUUUCUGUGUCCUCUUAUUUAAAAAGAAGUGCUCACUAGAGGUUACCUGAAGACAUAUCUGAUCCUUGAAACCUGCAGUAGUCUAACACAGAGGCCAAGAUCACAGGUCUUCAUAAAAGUAAUACUUUCCUCAUGACAAUGAAGUGCCACAGGGCCAACUCAAAAAUUGAGACUGAGCCUGGGAGGCCAUGUGGGUUCUCGGCUUUGUGCGGGCAGGAAUUCGACAGCCAGCCAACAGAGUGAAGAGAAAGCAAGUUUACUAAGAAAGUAAAGGAAUAACAGGGUGGCUAUGCCAUAGGCAGAGCAGCCCUGAGUGCUGCUGGUUGGCUUUUUCUAUGGUUAUUUCUUGAUUAUAUGCUAAACAAGGGGUGGAUUAUUCAUGAGUUUUGGGGGAAUGGGAGGACAGUUAUGGGAACUAAUGUUUCCUCCCCCUUUCAGACUAUAUAGGGUAAUUCUUGAUGCUACCAUCGCAUUUGUAAAUUGCCAUGGCAUUGGUAGGAGUUUCUUUGAGCAAGUUAACGUAUUAUAAUUAGCAUAUAAUGAGCAGUGAGGACAACCAGAGGUUGCUUUUGUGGCCAUCUUGGUUUUGGUGGGUUUUGGCUGGCUUCUUUACUGCAUCCUGUUUUAUCAGGUUUUUUUUGUUUUUUUGGUUUGUUUGUUUUUUGAGCUAGGUCUUGUAAAACAGUCCUGCCAACUUCCUAUCUCAGAAUCACAUGUCUCUCAUUGUCCUAGCUCAGGGUGAUAACACGGGAGGCAUGCCAGGUUACUUGUCACCCAAUAUUCAUUCUCCUGUUCUGAGUCAGAAAUGAAUGAGGGGCUUGGCUGUGAUGUUCUCCUCUGGACAGAGCCCUCACUUCCCAGCUGACUUGAGGCUGGUGUGGCCUUGUGUCCAGGUAUGUGGCCAACAGAGAUGUAAGUAGAAAUCUUACCAAUUCUUCCAGGAAGUCUUUUCAAAGAGAGACUGGACGACCUUCUCUCUUUCUCUCUCCAUCCUGCUGCUUGGGAAAGGGAUGUGACAUCUGGAGUCCUGGCAGCCACCUUGGAGCACAAGAUUAAGAGCCCCAGCUAAGGCAGGCAGAGUGGCUGGCGGAAGGGAGCAAGGGCCCCUGGGGAACUUACUGCUUACCCUGGGCUUCUUUAAAGUGGAAAAAAAAAAAAAAAAGAAAUUCCACUUCCUAUCAGCUCUUUUAUUCUGGAUGUCUCAGCCAAACACACCCAAACCCAAUACUGACAUAAGUUAUUUGUCAGUAUUGACAAAUAUUUGUAAAGUCUUCACUUUUGAAAUUAAAUAUAUUCACCGUGCUGUGUAAAGUAUAAUAUGAAUGCUUUUUUAAAAGUUAUUUGUUUACUGGGAUUAUAUUUGCCUGUGUGAGCCAAAAGAAGCAUUUCUGCCUAUUACCGUGGGAGUUUUCAGAGCAUGGGUCUAGGUGGCGAUAUCCCCACUGAAUCAAAAGGCAGACUCAGAAGUGGUUUUACAAAGAGAAAUAUGAACACUUUUCUCAUUGUGAGAUAACCAUUACAUCUCAGUUUAAAGAUCCAAAGCUAAUUUUGGAAAUUAUUUUUAAGGCACAGAGGAAAAACAUCAUGUGAGCUCACAGGUCUGACACAGUUGUGAACAGCUUGUUUUCUUAUAGAAAUGCUGUGGUGGCUGCCUGGGCUAGGGCAUUUGCAUUUCAACCAAAUGUUCUUUCAAAGUCAGAGCCAGAGCAGCUAGAAGCUUCCUUAAAACCAGGUGAACCCUAAACGUAGAAAUAGGAAAAACAGUGGCCUCCACUGUGUCCUUUCACAUCUCGGCCUCUGAACUUCAGCCUGAGACACUGGAAAGCUGCACCCUUCCUCUGUCUCCUCAAAUCCUGCAAGCCCCAAGGCACAUCACCCGACAUCAAAAGGCCAUCCUCAUUUCAGGUGGAUGUCCCAUUUGACUGACAGCAGCUACUUGUGUUUCAGAAUAGGAUUUGCUUAAAAAUCACUUGGUAUCCUUGUGAGCAGGGAGUCUCCCAAGGCCUGACUCCACAUUCUGCAGCAUUAGGUGAGCACAUGACCCAAAAAUCUAUGUCAUUUAUUACUUCCCAGGCACAUUGACUCAGAUGCUCCUUGGACCAUUCUCAGGAGUAUUGGUGUCGAUAUUACUGAUCUCAAAAUGAAACCAUCCCAGUUUCCCCAUGGAAAUGAUGUUUACCAGGUUUGGAUGGUUCUUUUGAAUAAACAGAAAUUGAUCCUCUGAUCUUAAAACUUGAAACUUACAUUUGUCUUAUCUGAGUUCCUUUCUUGGGCAAGGAACUGAAACUCACUAGAUGAACACAUCCAGGCUCUAAGACACCAGACCCCUCAUCCUUCAUGAUUGUUUCCUCAUGCCUCCCUAAUUUCUGUUUUUCUGCAUGUAGUUACAUUCCUGUGCACUAUAUUAAACCCCAGUGUUAGUCAGCUGGCGGGACAGGUUUGAGAAUUAUCUCUUGUCUUCUUGGCUAACACUACUCAAAUAGUGCUUUCUUCCUGGACAAUAUUUGUCAUCUCAGAGAUUGUCUUUCCAUGCAGGGAGCAAAGAGACCUGGACCUAACCCCUGGUGUUUUAGUAACAAAAAUUCAAAUCUUAAAAGGUGUUAUAUAUCAUAUCCUCCACUCCUAUAUGUCUAUAUUUGAG